GAGGGCAACGGGACGGGCUCCGGGAGCGGGACGGGCUCCGGAUUAUUUUGAGUUUCUUCAGAGCAGAUGACCUGCGUCAUGGCGCAGUGACAGAAGCAUCUUGAAUCACCCCAGGGAUGGAAAACUGCUGGGCCCGUCAGACUGCAGCUUGAGGAGCUGAGUAAUGCUGGGCAUCCAAUGUCAUGGGCCCUCCAAAAACUCCAGCCCCAAGAAGUCUCUGUCAGAAGGACAUUGGGCACUCAGCAGGUGGUGCUGUUUCCACUGAGUCUAUCCUAAAUAAUCCACUGCCCCUGCACAUCCAAGGGAAAUCAGUGGGUAGGGAGAAGUGUUUUCUGUGGGGAAAGGCUGAAAUCCCAAGUGCUGGCACGUAUUAAAAGACUACUCAGGUCUUUGUGUGCAGCUUCUCUAUCGCUAGGAAAAAAAGGCAACCACAAAGUACCUGUGUGAAACAUGGCAAAUGGAUGAAAACCA